rnacentral:rRNA from 1 species
GACGAACGCUGGCGGCGUGCCUAAUACAUGCAAGUAGAACGCUGAAGCUUGGUGCUUGCACCGAGCGGCUGAGUUGCGAACUUGUGAGUAACGCGUAGGUAACCUGCCUGGUAGCGGGGGCUUACUCUUGGAAACGAUAGCUACUACCGCAUAACAGUCGAUAUCGCAUGCUAGCUACUUGAAAGGUGCAACUGCACCACUACCAGAUGGACCUGCGUUGUAUUAGCUAGUUGGUGAGGUAACGGCUCACCAAGGCAACGAUACAUAGCCGACCUGAGAGGGUGAUAGGCCAAACUGGGACUGAGAAACGGCCCAGACUGCUACGGGAGGGAGCAGUAGGGAAUCUUCGGCAAUGGACGGAAGUCUGACCGAGCAACGCCGCGAGAGUGAAGAAGGUUUUAGGAUCGGAAGGCUCUGUUGUAAGAGAAGAACGGGUGUGAGAGUGGAAAGUGCACACUGUGACGGUAUCUUACCAGAAAGGGACGGCUAAAUACGUG